rnacentral:rRNA from 1 species
UACGGGGGGGAGCAAGCGUUGUUCGGAUUUACUGGGCGUAAAGGGCGCGUAGGCGGUCAGCACAAGUCAGUUGUGAAAUCUCCGGGCUUAACUCGGAAAGGUCAACUGAUACUGUGCGACUAGAGUGCAGAAGGGGCAACUGGAAUUCUCGGUGUAGCGGUGAAAUGCGUAGAUAUCGAGAGGAACACCUGCGGCGAAGGCGGGUUGCUGGGCCGACACUGACGCUGAGGCGCGAAAGCCAGGGGAGCGAACGGG